CCUACGGGAGGCAGCAGUAGGGAAUCUUCCACAAUGGACGAAAGUCUGAUGGAGCAACGCCGCGUGAGUGAAGAAGGGUUUCGGCUCGUAAAGCUCUGUUGGUAGUGAAGAAAGAUAGAGGUAGUAACUGGCCUUUAUUUGACGGUAAUUACUUAGAAAGUCACGGCUAACUACGUGCCAGCCGCCGCGGUAAUACGUAGGUGGCAAGCGUGUUCCGGAUUGUUUGGGCGUAAAGCGAGUGCAGGGUGUUCAAUAGGCCUGAUGUGAAAGCCUUCGGCUCAACCGGAGAAUUGCAUCAGAAACUGUUGAACUUGAGUGCAGAAGAGGAGAGUGGAACUCCAGGUGUAGCGGUGGAAUGCGUAGAUAUAUGGAAGAACACCAGUGGCGAAGGCGGCUCUCUGGUCUGCAACUGACGCUGAGGCUCGAAAGCAUGGGUAGCGAACAGGAGUAGAUACCCUUGUAGUC
rnacentral:rRNA from 1 species